UACAGGGGGUGCAAACGUUGCUCGGAAUUAUUGGGCGUAAAGAGCUCGUAGGCGGUUUGUCGCGUCUGCUGUGAAAACUCGGGGCUUAACCCCGGGCCUGCAGUGGGUACGGGCAGACUAGAGUGCGGUAGGGGAGACUGGAAUUCCUGGUGUAGCGGUGAAAUGCGCAGAUAUCAGGAGGAACACCGGUGGCGAAGGCGGGUCUCUGGGCCGUAACUGACGCUGAGGAGCGAAAGCGUGGGGAGCGAACGGG
rnacentral:rRNA from 1 species